GUGAGGACUACUGGAACUAGCCCUUUCACAAACAGGUUUUGAACAUGCAACUUUAUAUAUAUUUAUGUAUAUGAAAUUGUAACACCUAUAGUACAUAGUGCUAGACUCUUGUUGAAUUUUCACUGUUUUAGUCUUGCGUGGUUCAUUGUCAUUUUAAUCUGCAUUUGUUUCACUGCGGAGUGCUUAGGCUGCUUUCAGAUCUAGGCACAUUGCUGAUAGAAAUUUGGUUCAUUUCAGCUUUGAAAUUUGUAGUUGUUAGGGAGCUAACCAUUUUCUAAAAUUAAACUUAAGAAAAAAAAAAAAACACCCACAAACCUACACCAGGGAAACUAAUAUCUUAAUUGCUGGAACUGUUGCCAUUAUAAUUAACUCUAUCAUGUAAUUCCAUUCUUUCUUCAGUUUUAAAAUUCUCUAAAAGACAUUUUCUACUUAUGAUUUUUCAAAAAUAGUGUUUUAUGGUCCAGUAUUAAAAAUAGAAGAGUGGAUGUUAUAUCGGAUAUCAUAGCGUGGAGCUUCCAUGAGUAAAUUCACAAACAUCCCAGUGAUUCUUCCUCCUCUGCUCUUCUCCCCCCACUCCAAGAAGCACUGAGGGUGAAUAUGCAGCUUCAGAAGUUUCCUUAGAGCUCUUUUAUACUUUAAUAGGUUUGUUUUGGUGACUAUAUGCCAGACGAGUAUGCUGCAGACAUAUUUUUUUUCAAAAGGUCAAGCAGUCUUCUAACAUGUCCAUUGUGUAUCCUGCAGUAAGAAAUCCUCAGUGCAAAGGAGAGCUUCAUGGUUAAAUUUUAAAAGAUAAUGAUUUAAAUCUUUUUGUUAUAGCCUUUCUUCUUUCUUUCUUUCUUUUUUUUUAACAUCCUUAGCACUGCUUUUGGAGCGUCAACUUCUAACACUGUAGAAAGCAGGAAGCCCAUUAAAAAUAACAAACAGCUAAAGGUAAACUUAGUUGGUCACCUUUCCCUCUGAAAUCCUGGUGUUUGGCUGUGUUUGUAAGAAACGUGAUAACAAAUGAGUGGCCAUAGCCUAAUGUAAGGACAAAGCAAAAUUACCAAUUAUGGAGAAACAUCCAGGGCUCUGGGCCUGAAUCUUUGAUUUCCUGUUUGGAUCUUAAAAACACAUGCAUUACUGGCUUCUGACUGCUCAUCUAUGAACGUGCUGUAGAAUCAACUACAGAUAUUUUUUCAGACACUGAUAAAACGUAUACAUUCACUUGUCAGCAAAAAAAUAAUAAUUACAUCAUUCUGAUCUUCUCUCUAAAAAAAAAAAAAAAAAGAGGAAAAAAAUAAACAAAAGAAACCUUCUUCCAGCAAAGUAAAGUUGCAGUAUAUUAAAAAACCAGUGCGUUUUCUCUUUCAUACAGGCAUGAAGUGGAAAAGAGCAGAGAUGUCUGCAAUAUUUAAGCACUCUUUGAGCUACAAGACUAAUCAAUGUAGCUCCUGCCACAUACUUGAGAACUGCAGUUUAUUAAUACAUGUGUUUUUGCUCUGUUAAACAAAUAGUCAUGCCACUCAAGUUCAGUUGUAAUGGAAAAAAAAAAGAAAAAAGAAAAAAUGUUCUUUAUGGAUAAAGGGAGAGGGAUAGCCAAAUUCAAAAUACUGGUGAGAUUUCUCUCUUCUCAAAAAUUAUGGAAAAAAAAAGAAAGGAAAUCUGCCUCUGUGUAGCUCUGGGUCAUUUGGAAGGAAAGAGGGAUGCUAAAAAUAUUAGUAAAUUAGUAUAGGAGAUGCUGAUGAAAACAUCUGGUGAACUGGUUGUAUUGACAUAAAUCGGAGUACUCUAUGAAUGUUUCAAGCGUGGAAAUAGAAUUAUCAUAUCAUGGUGAUAGAAUAUAUCACCAAUUUGAUAUAUAUAUAUAUAUAUGUAUAUAUAUAUAUAUAUAAAGGUAUUUCUUUCCUUCAGUGUUCCCGUUUUGAAUUUAUGCAGUAUACCUGAGUGUUCCCCUCUUUAAUUCAGUGCACGUGAAUUGUCUACAACAGCUUAACUUUAUAUAUCAGGUAUGCUUCAGAAACUGAAAAAAUCUCCAGCUGAUUUAGCAGCUGAGGCAUUACUCAUCAGAAUAUCUGAUUACUGGCAUAUUAAGCAGCAGACACAGUGGAACAGAAUAAACAUGAAGCACUGCAUCUACCAACACAUAUAUUUUAAUUACUACUAACCAAACAAAUAAAUACCAGACCGGCUUCAUAUUCAAAAUUUAGUGCGUGAUCAAGGGAAACAGAAAUCUACAAUAUUGGUCCUUGUAAAAAUGUUGUCAUUAACAAGAAUUUCUCAGCUCCCAAGUUUUCAUUUCAAAUCUCUCGGUGUGCCUGUUGUAAUCAUUCCGGGUCUCCUAUUCCUAAUUUAAAACAAUGGCAGUGGUGCUCAGCCGCCCCUGCAGGAAGGCUGGCCGCAAACGGGAGACAAUGGCAGCGGCAGAGGUGUGACACCUGCCGCCUUCUCUCUUCAUCAAACUUUGUCCACAAGAAACCACUGAUUCUCAGACUCGUAACCCUUUAAUUGUCAAUGCUCUAACUGGAGAGCUGUAUAGAGCUGUAGAAAGCUGUUUCUUAAAAGAUAGCUGCUAAAUGUUGCCUUUUUCUUUCGAUAGCUUUAGGCCACGUUUCCUAAUUCUGAGUAAUUCACUCUAAUACGUAGUCAUAAACCAUAAGAUAAUAAAUUAUUAAGGCCUGAUUUUUUUUUAAUUUUUUUAUUUUUUCUGUUCAGACCAAUCUUUCUUAAUUACUGCGUGGUCUGAAAAUACGAGAAUAUCGGGGCUGGAGAUUCAUUUGAACAGAUCUCCAAACAGGCUGUGCAUGGGCUAGGGCUUUGCGUUUUCCUUAUGCGUCAGAAAAUUUCCUCUUCCCUUUCGGUCUGUAAGCACCGAGCAGCUGUAAGCACCUCUCGCUACCUGGGCGCUUGGCUAUCCUAAUGCAGCCUGGUAGCCCUAAGAACCCACCGGUCAAAAUCAAUGACUUGCAGACAAGAUUUUCCUUCCAGUCUGCAGAAUGGAAGUUGUAGCAUUUCUGCACUCCUGGCAAGGGAGCUCCGUCUGUCUCCGAUCAUGGUUCUCGAUCUCUUGCCCACGUGCAGUACGGGUAACGCCAUUCUCCAGGCGUAUGUACGGACACCAUGGAAGAAAGGGUUUGAGCGAUGGAGACAACGGCUGGAAACUCCACCGACACAACGCGACUACAUGCUUGUGAAGCCAGUUCUGAGUUGCCUCACCGGCAGACGCCCGUAGCAUCUUGCAGCAUUCUCCAGACUGCGAAGACAAGAAGUCAGGUGAAGCCCAGUGAGCUGUUCUCAUGUGCACGCUAAUGUGGAUGAACUAGCAAGCUGCGUUAUGCUGUAGAAAUCGCAGGGUCUUCUCUAUGCAGGUGAAAAUGGGUGAGAAGGAGUACAACUGUUGGAUUUGUGGCAGGAAUUUUCAAACGAAUGAAAGCGUAAGGAUGAAAACAGAAGAAAAGUAUUCAGCACGGACACAGUUAAAUGAGCAUAAGGAAACUGUUACAGAAAAGGUGACAAUAAUACAUCUUGUUGGAAAGGAGAACCAAAAUGAAGCAGCUGUACAUCAGAGAGAAAAUCUGAACUAAGAGACUGAUAACAAGUAUGCCGAGUAUUUUUUCUUGCUUACGGGUGAAAAAGCCAGCAAAGUCUCUGUUUGAAGACAAAGCACAUAAUAAUAUGAUCAUAAAAAUCUCCUAAUGGGGACUGUGUGAUGCACGGUAAAUGUAUUCCUUUCAGUACGUUAUUCCCUCAACAUGCAGGCUUUCAAGGUACCCUCAAACCGUACUGUGGAUAUGAUAGCAUCAGCACAGCUAGAUGUGAGCAGAGCUGGACCACCUUUUUCCUUAUUAUUGCUAUUAUUUGUGCUCUUAUCAUUUCAUACUGAUCUCACGGCAACUCCUGGGAGGUUCAGACAGAAAAGUCACCCCAUUUUUCAAGAGGUGGUUUGCAGACAUUGCUAAGGCACCAUCUGUGCCCAGAGAAAAGCUGCAAUUGAUGGAAAUGAAGUGACAUUCGGAGGGUGGAGAGAGGAAUACAGCAAUUAUAGGUGGGGCUGGUAGUAUUACCUGUUAUUAAGGGCUUGCCUGACACUUCCCAUUUUAAGGCCUGCUCCUCGUGGUUUUUAAGUACUUAGUAAACUUUAAGCAUUUGUCUUUACCUAGACUUCUACCCUUGGCUGCUUCUGCUGCUCAGGUGUUAUUAACAGAAUUUAUUUCAUUUGGACGUCGUGGCAGGACUGGAGCUGGAGGAAGGAGCAGCAGCUUUAAAAACAUACAAAUAAAUGUUAUCCUUUUACCUUUCAGUAUAUUUUUUUUGUUUUGCUUUGCCAUAAGAACUCAAACAUUGUAAUCUCACCUUGUUUUCUUAUAUUCCUCCAGCUACCUGUCUGCAUCCAUCUGUGAUCUCUUUUCUUAGAUUUGAGCCUGUCUUUCUGAUCUGCAUUUGUGCACUGCUUUAUACAGCUGGGUGCUGGUCCGUGACUGCUGCACCUAUGAGCUGCAGCCACGCAAACAAAUACUCUGGGUCUGCACAGGGCAAUUGUUUUGGAG
ensembl:lncRNA